rnacentral:lncRNA from 1 species
GCUGAGGUAUUAUCGGGGGGAAAUAAAGCUGAGUAUUUCGAGAGGUUAUGUUGAGGGUGCCUUCUCGAACGCGAGAAAUGGUUGAGCAUUUUUGCAGGUUUGUCUGUCCGUGGAGGAGGGAGGUCGACAUAUAUAGGAAUUUCUCAAUAGCAAGUAGUAAUGCUAUUCCUUUACCAUUCUCGGUCACAGUAACGUAGUGGGAGCUGUCAGCUUCACGUGUUUUAACUUUGUCAGAGCACUUUGAAAAAGAUGUAUGUGGUAUCUGGAAAGCUGAUGUUGCGUGUGAAGAUUACAGACAAGCUUUAUCUAAGGAAAUCUGGCUCUCGAAGUUCUGAGAGUUGUGCCUCUUCGAUUUUCGAACAAGCAAUCCCGUCGGGGAUCUGGCUCUCGAGAUUCGGAAAGCGGUGCCGCUUCGGCUUUUAAGAGAGCAAUUAUGUUGGGAGUCUUUUCUCG